AUUGAACGCUGGCGGCAGGCCUAACACAUGCAAGUCGAACGGUAACAGGGAUCAGCUUGCUGAUUCGCUGACGAGUGGCGGACGGGUGAGUAAUGUCUGGGAAACUGCCUGAUGGAGGGGGAUAACUACUGGAAACGGUAGCUAAUACCGCAUAACGUCGCAAGACCAAAGAGGGGGACCUUCGGGCCUCUUGCCAUCGGAUGUGCCCAGAUGGGAUUAGCUAGUAGGUGGGGUAACGGCUCACCUAGGCGACGAUCCCUAGCUGGUCUGAGAGGAUGACCAGCCACACUGGAACUGAGACACGGUCCAGACUCCUACGGGAGGCAGCAGUGGGGAAUAUUGCACAAUGGGCGCAAGCCUGAUGCAGCCAUGCCGCGUGUAUGAAGAAGGCCUUCGGGUUGUGAAGUACUUUCAGCGGGGAGGAAGGGAGUAAAGUUAAUACCUUUGCUCAUUGACGUUACCCGCAGAAGAAGCACCGGCUAACUCCGUG
rnacentral:rRNA from 1 species